rnacentral:rRNA from 1 species
AGUGAACGCUGGCGGUAGGCCUAACACAUGCAAGUCGAACGGCAGCACAGUAAGAGCUUGCUCUUACGGGUGGCGAGUGGCGGACGGGUGAGGCAUACAUCGGAAUCUACUUUUUCGUGGGGGAUAACGUAGGGAAACUUACGCUAAUACCGCAUACGACCUACGGGUGAAAGCAGGGGAUCUUCGUACCUUGCGCGAUUGAAUGAGCCGAUGUCGGAUUAGCUAGUUGGCGGGGUAAAGGCCCACCAAGGCGACGAUCCGUAGCUGGUCUGAGAGGAGGAUCAGCCACACUGGAACUGAGACACGGUCCAGACUCCUACGGGAGGCAGCAGUGGGGAAUAUUGGACAAUGGGCGCAAGCCUGAUCCAGCAAUACCGCGUGGGUGAAGAAGGCCUUCGGGUUGUAAAGCCCUUUUGUUGGGAAAGAAAAGCAGCAGGUUAAUACCCCGCUGUUCUGACGGUACCCAAAGAAUGAGCGCCGGCUAACUUCGUG